rnacentral:misc_RNA from 1 species
AAGUCGUAACAAGGUUUCCGUAGGUGAACCUGCGGAAGGAUGAUUAACACGUAUCCAAACGUUAGAACCCCCUUCGUGAACCUUCAUCCUGCUCUUGUAACCCGCGUAGUUCGCAAUCUCUGAUAAAUCAUAGCCCGGAAAGUUGUAGUGAUUCAGAGACCUUUGGCUACGUGCGAACAUUGGAACAAGCAGUCAGUGUCGGAAAGUGUCAUUGAUUGUGCAAGGAUAGCGCUUCUACGAUUCCUGUAGACCGUACACCCGGGCAGGAGCUUUGCCAAAGGGUCCCCAUGCCCCCUUACAACCCCACAGUUAAAUGUGAAGCUCAAUGUAAUACAUUGGGUAAAAAAACCGAACAACUGUUAACAAUGGAUAUCUUGGUUCUC